rnacentral:tRNA from 1 species
GCCCAGAUAGCUCAGUCGGUAGAGCAGGGGACUGAAAAUCCCCGUGUCGGUGGUUCGAUUCCACCUCUGGGCACCA